AGUGAACGCUGGCGGCAGGCCUAACACAUGCAAGUCGAACGGCAGCACAGGGGAGCUUGCUCCCUGGGUGGCGAGUGGCGGACGGGUGAGGAAUACAUCGGAAUCUACCCUUUCGUGGGGGAUAAUGUAGGGAAACUUACGCUAAUACCGCAUACGAUCUGAGGAUGAAAUCAGGGGACCGCAAGGCCUUGCGCGAUUGGAUGAGCCGAUGUCCGAUUAGCUAGUUGGCGGGGUAAAGGCCCACCAAGGCGACGAUCGGUAGCUGGUCUGAGAGGAUGAUCAGCCACACUGGAACUGAGACACGGUCCAGACUCCUACGGGAGGCAGCAGUGGGGAAUAUUGGACAAUGGGCGCAAGCCUGAUCCAGCCAUGCCGCGUGUGUGAAGAAGGCCUUCGGGUUGUAAAGCACUUUUGUUGGGAAAGAAAUCCUGUCGGCUAAUACCCGGCGGGGAUGACGGUACCCAAAGAAUAAGCACCGGCUAACUUCGUGCCAGCAGCCGCGGUAAGAC
rnacentral:rRNA from 1 species